AAAAUGCAGCGCUCCCUGGGAUGCUGCAGGAGAGCUCCUCUGGCAGUGGCUCCUGAUCUGCGCGGAAGGGGAGGGCAGAGCACAGGCACUGUGCUGUGCUCAAGGUCACCUGGGCAAACUUCCCCCUUACCAAGGGCGUCCUGAUAUUUGUGAGACCCAGCAGUAGGCAGCAUGUCUAUUUUUGUUACUUACAGAGUGCUGUGCACAUACUGAGUGACCGACAGGCUUGUAAAGAAGGCCGGAUUGCUAUCACAGUUUACUAUCCCAUGACCCAUCCCAUACGCACGACAAGCACAGCUAUAUUGCUACAUAAACAACACCAGGCAGUCUAGUUUGGAUGUCACCAAAUGCGUGUCACUGAUGCAUGCCAAAUCAUUGUAGUCUGAGAGCUCUUCAUAUCUUAAGAGCAAGUCAGGGUUGUGUCUGGUCGAGAGAAGCUAUGCUGGAUGAGCUGCCAGGAAAAACAAACACAAGUUUCCCAGGUGCUGUGCCUGCUCAGUUGACCCAGUGGUCAAGUGGUGCCUUAGCAAGGGUUUGGAGUAGACUCGUGCUGGAAAUGUUGAUGGUCUCCGUUGUGGUAAGGUCUGAAACAUGAAGAGCUGCCUCAGUGGCCUGGGUAGCGGUAGGAAGACUGUAUGUAGUGGUAGAGGAAAACAGCAAAGGGAAAUCUCAUAAAGUUCUUAGUCUCUCAGAUAAAAUAUAAAAACUCUAAACCUAAGUUCCCUUUUGGAAAUUAAUUGUGUUUAUUUUUAUGGAGGUUUAUGGUACGGCUUUUCACCUGUGCAGUCCUACAGUUGCUCUAUUUUGGGCUGCUCCUGUUUACUCCCUGCCUUGAACAUCUGCUGAUUGGCAUUGCAGACCUGAAUGUGCAGCACCAGCAGCAUCUCAACAGUAUUACUUAAUCUCAGUGAUUUGACAGUGUGUUAGGUUAGGUGAUUGAAGGUUCUUCUCCACAUGCACAGAGGAGUUUAGGAGCACUUGGGCAGGUGGGGGAGCCAGGUCGGGCAAAGGCAGCCCAUGCCCAGCCUCUCCCAGGGAAGCCUCAAUUCCCAUGGAGGUGGGGGACACACCCAGCAGUCAGCCAAAACUUUCUGUGUGGGUGUUACUGCCUAGGGUUACGCGACACGUCGUGGAAUGGAUAAUGGAACGCUUUGGGAUUAAGAUUUAUGAGAUGUUUAGGGAAAGAACCAAAGACGGGGAAAGGAAGGGAUCAAGGUGAUAUGAGAAUGAGCACGUGUGAGAAAAUAGUGGGAUGAGGAGGUAAAUAGGGCAGGUCUGGUGUAAACAAACUGCUGGUCAGACUGCUUGUCUGGCUAUGCCCUGCACCUGGUGAGCUCAGUCUCUCCUGGACGAGUCUCCCAGACUAGACUCUGUUUCUAAACCUCACUGUGUGAGAGGUCUCCCUGUGCUAUAUGUGUGCCUCUGCAUGGCUGUAAGUGCCAGCAGCAGGAGUCACACCUCAGGUUACAGGGACUCGUGCCAGAGAGGAGGACAGGACUUCACCAUUCAUGCCAUCUGUGUUUGAGUGUUUCUGUCUAUGUUGAUCUGUGUAGCUGUCCUUGUGCUUAUUUUUAUAUAUAUAUAUAUUCGUGUGUACACACUUUCUGUGCGUGUAUGCCUGUUCGGAAUAUGUGUUCAGACUUGCUGCUGACUAGGCCUAGGAAAACGUUGCUAUGGCAGCCUCUCUUCUAUUGGGCUGUAUGGUUCAGCAACUCAUAAUUCACUACAUGAUUAGCAUACUAGAAAAUCCUAGAUCUGUGCAAAAGCAGGAAUUAUUAGUAUUUAAUUUGUAUUAUUUCUUUGGUAGCAGUAAAUUCCAGAGUCAAGAGAAGUAAAUGCUCUUGGCCCAAGGGUUUUAAUUAGUAUUAUUCAAUAUACAUGAUUGCAAAAGCAAGGCAAUGAGUGAGACACAUAGGAUUUUAUUUUAGUAGAAAAAAUAUAUAGAUAUUCGUCAUUUAGCAACAUUCAAAAAGCCUGUUUUCGUCAGAGGAUAUAAUCUUUGAUUUAGCAAUCAUGGGUUCAAUCAGUUUUAAAUGAAUGUCAGUAUAAAUUGAUUGAAAUCUAAGCAUUUCAGCUUUAAAAAGUAUGCUGUAGGGAAGCUAAAUAUAGCUCUUGAAUAUCUGAAUAUAGGGAAAGUCUGGAAAUGUCUUUAGUAAGUGAGAAUAUUGUAUAAGGAAGACUGCUUAUUUGCAAAGGGAGUGACUUCAAACAGGAUUACAGAAGUAGUAGGAGGAGAAAGUUGUGUCGUAGAGGUUAGAAACAGAAAGGAUGAGGUGAGAUUUGCCAACAUUCAAAUUAAAUUAGAUUGUUAAAAUAACUAAUAAAUAGCAAAAGGUGCAUCACUUGUAAAAAUGUAAAGAAAUCCUGAAAUGAAGAAGUUGAGCUUUUUUUUUAGUGAGGAAGGGGUGAAAAGUCAAGGCUCUCUUACUCAAACUGAGUACUGGCUUUCCUGAUAAUUGCUGACUGGCGUAAAAGGUGAAGCAAAAGACAAACAAUGAAGGGGAAUAAAUGAAUCUGUACAAAUGAAUGUUACUGUUUUCACAGGGAGAUUAAAAUCAAGAGAGUGUUCAGAGGAGUAAAGCUCCAUCUAAAUUUGUGAAGUCAGAGGUGCUGCCCCAUUCUUGGAGAUUGUCAGAGGGGUAGAAGAAGGAAAAGGAGUCUUUAAUUUCUGCUUUACCAAUGGAGAAAUGGAGCACGUUAAAAUUUGAGCAAGGUUUGGAAUCUGCUGAAUAAGUCUGCUGCAGCUUGCCAUUCUGGCUAUCAGAUGCUGGGACCUUGAGCAGUAACCUUCAGCAGUGGUCCUGCUGAUGGAAGGUUGAGAUGGCUGCUGUGCCACCAGCAGUGCUGCAGGAGAACGCAGAGGGCUUGGGUGGGCCACGUGCUUUUACAGUGUAAAGUGAUGGACUCCAGGCAGCCCCUUUCCCUUGGCGUAGGCACAGCUGCGUGGCUGUAGCAGUUUUAGUUCUGUCCAGCCCCAGCUCGGGCUCCUGAUGAGACAAGGCCUGGCCUCCUUUGUUCCUGAGAAGAUGCAGCCCAGCACAGAGCUCACAGCCUGCCCGGCAGGGCUGGUUCCAGUCCAGGCACAGGGCUGAUGGUGCUUGAGCCAUGGUGCUUUUCACCCCUGCAAGGAAUGCAUUCAUCACACCAACUUGUGCUUCAGAGAACACAAUGAGAAACAGCAGGAAAGAGAAUGAGGAAAGAGGCUGUGGGGUCUUCUCUGGAGUUACUAAAUCCUGCCUGGACGCAAUCUUGCUUCAGGUGACUGUGCUUUAGCAGGGAGUGUAACCAGACAACCUCCACAUCUCUCUUUCUGCCCCAGCCAUUCUGUGAUACUCUAAGUUUUGACUCCUCUGGAAAUGCCUACUAUGAGCGCAGCAAAACAUUUUGUAUGCACUUUGGGUUUGGUUCCUUCUUCCUUUUUGUUUUCAGUAAGUUGAAAAACUAGAAUGGCAUACAUAAAUUGAACACUUUUAAAGACUUUAUAAAAGCAAGAUAAAGACUACAGCUGACCUAGCAAUGCAAGAAUGCUGGGGGUUUUAUAAAAGAUCAGGUUAUGACUUGUCCUAGGUCUCAAACACAAAGAACUGAUUUUUAUUGAAGUCAUUUAAAUUUGCCAAGCAAAGUAAAUUUGUCAACCCACAUGAAAACUUACUGAAUAAAGUUAAAUUCUUGGCAGCAUGAGCGAAUACAAAAAAGAAAGAAAAAAAAAAAAGGCAACCCAAAACAAA